AAAUUAUUAAAAUGAAGGAAAUCUUCAGAGUUUGAACACCCAGUCUCAUCUAUUACGAGAAAAUGAAUUUAAAAAUUAUAAUUUUAUUUAAAAUAUUUUGAAAAAUUUUCAUGGGUCUAACAAUAAUUAAUGAAUUAUAUAAUAAAAGGUAGUACCUUUCUUUAUUUUUCUAGUAAUAAAAUUCUGUAGAUUUAUCAAAAUAAAAAUCAAUUAAACUACUCUAAUACUGGGUCAUUUGUUU
rnacentral:misc_RNA from 1 species